CGCACCUUGCGCCUUUUGGUAUUCCGAAAGGCAUGCCUGUUUGAGUGUCAUGAAAUCUCAAUCCCACCUGGUUUUGUUACUGGGUGUGGACUUGGACCUGGGCGUCUGCCAGUCAAAUGGCUCGCCUCAAAUGACUUAGUGGGAUCUCUCUGACAUCCGCGACAGACGUAAUAAGUUUCGUCUUGUCCCUUGUCUAAUCGAGCCUGCUCAUAACCUGCCAUCGCGCACCUUUUUGACUCUGACCUCAAAUCAGGUAGGACUACCCGCUGAACUUAA
rnacentral:misc_RNA from 1 species